UUGUGUUCCGUCUGCAUUUCGGCACAGCACCGCUGCGCUACUGGACUACAACAAGCUGAUGGCAUCCGGUGGAGCUUUGUAUGGCAACGACUGCUACUUACCUGGUGCCACAACUUUGGAUGAAUGCAGAAGCCCGGAACAAGCAUUUAUAUAGAGCAAAAUAAACAUUUCAUCAUUUCAGAA
rnacentral:lncRNA from 1 species